rnacentral:rRNA from 1 species
GGAAUUUUGGGCAAUGGGCGCAAGCCUGACCCAGCAACGCCGCGUGGGUGACGAAGGCCUUCGGGUUGUAAAGCCCUUUUUGAGGGGAAGACGAUGACGGUACCCUCCGAAGAAGCACCGGCUAACUACGUGCCAGCAGCCGCGGUAAUACGUAGGGUGCAAGCGUUGCCCGGCUUUAUUGGGCGUAAAGGGCGCGCAGGCGGCUCGGCCCGGCCGUUGUGAGAUCGCCCGGCUCAACUGGGCGGGGUCAGCGGAUACGGCCGAGCUGGAGCAAGCUAGGGGGCAAUGGAAUUCCCGGUGUAGUGGUGGAAUGCGUAGAUAUCGGGAGGAACACCAGUGGCGAAGGCGGUUGCCUGGAGCUUUGCUGACGCUGAGGCGCGAAAGCGUGGGGAGCGAUC